UACAACAAACACAUCGAUUGUACUCGAGAUCAGAGACCAGAGAUGAAUCUUCAUAUAACUUACGAGGUCGCAGAAAUUCAAUAGUUUUAGCUCAGAGUUAAGACAGUCGAAAACACAACAAUCAUACGCAAGAUAAAGGCGAAUUUUCAUAUAACGUGCGAGAAAAUAUAAAUGCAGUAGUUUUAGCUUAGACCAUCAAAAGCACAUCCAUCAUACCCGAGACAAGAGGAGAAAUCAUGCUCGAGACCAGAGACCAGAGAUGAAUCUUCAUACAACUUACGAGUUGACAUAAAUUCAGUUGUUUUAGCUCAGACCAUCAGAAACACAUCAAUCAUACUCACGACCAGAGACCAGAGAUGAAUCUUCAUAUAACUUACGAGUUGACAUAAAUUUAGUUGUUUUAGCUCAAACCGUCAAAAACACAGCAAUCAUAACCGAGAUUAGAUGGGAAUCUACAAAUGACUUAUGAGGUUGCAGAAAUUCAGUAGUUUUAGCUCAGACAGUAAAAAAACACAUCAAUCAUACCCCGAGACUAGAGGUGAAUAUACAAGUGACUUAAUUAUGAGGUUGCAGAAAUUCAGUAGUUUUAGCUCAGACAGUAAAAUACACAUCAAUCAUACCCGAGACUAGAGGCGAAUCUACAAAUAACUUAUGUGGUCGCAAAAAUUCAGUAGUUUUAGCUUAGACCGUCAUAUCAUAUAUGCAUUAAGAAAUCUACUGAAUAUAUAUGUUUUGUUGCUAACCUAUUUCCAAUUCUACAUAAACAUGAAGUCAUUACUGAAACUUACAAAUUUUCAAAUCUUGAAUUUGCCCCAGAACCUAAUGACUAUCUCGUAAUCCCUAAUCGUCUAUACACUAUAGUAUUGUUAACUUGUUUCCAAUUCUACAUAAACUUGAAAUCAUUAUUGAAACCUACACAUUUCAAAUCUUGAAUUCGCGUCAGGACCUGAUGACUAUUGAGUUUCGAGUAUUUUCUAAUUGUCUAUAUAUCGUAUUGUUAACUUGUUUCCAAUUCUAUACAUGUGUGUUGCAUCAUCCACACAUGACCAAAGUCGAUGCAAUUUAUAAUUGUUAUAUUCAUCAUGCACGUGGCAAACUAAACUAAGCUCCCACUAUAUACGGAAUCCGAAAAUGAAAUAGGCAAAUAGUUUUAAAGUUUCA
rnacentral:lncRNA from 1 species